UACGUAGGGGUGCAGCGUUGUCCGGAAUUAUUGGGCGUAAAGAGCGUGUAGGCGGCCCGAUUAGUCCGCUGUGAAAGUCCAGGGCUCAACCCUGGAAUGCCGGUGGAUACUGUCGGGCUAGAGUCCGGAAGAGGCGAGUGGAAUUCCUGGUGUAGCGGUGAAAUGCGCAGAUAUCAGGAGGAACACCGAUGGCGAAGGCAGCUCGCUGGGACGGUACUGACGCUGAGGCGCGAAAGCGUGGAGAGCAAACAGG
rnacentral:rRNA from 1 species